UACAGAGGGUGCAAGCGUUAAUCGGAAUUACUGGGCGUAAAGGGCGCGUAGGCGGCCUGUUAAGUCGAACGUGAAAUCCCCGGGCUCAACCCGGGAACUGCGUCCGAUACUGGCAGGCUUGAAUUCGGGAGAGGGAUGUGGAAUUCCAGGUGUAGCGGUGAAAUGCGUAGAUAUCUGGAGGAACACCGGUGGCGAAGGCGGCAUCCUGGACCGAUAUUGACGCUGAGGCGCGAAAGCUAGGGGAGCAAACGGG
rnacentral:rRNA from 1 species